GCCAAGCUUAUGAGUACCUGCACCUUAUUAGGUUCUAGGAGAUUUCUUCCCUCCAGUGGGAUGAGCACCAAUAAGAUACAAUAUUUUUGUAGAUUCGUGUGCUAAACUGGAGAAGCUUGGGACAAUAAGCUGAACAACAUGAGCAAAGCCAAAUUCAGGGUAGGAUCUCAGGGGUGUCCAGCCAGCCUUUCUUUGUACUGAAAGGGGUCACCUUUUCAAGCAUUGUAUUCACACAGCUUUGAGUUUAUUUCUUCUCUGAACUUCAUUUCUAAACCAUUACUGUUCUGGGUGAGCUGUGCUUAGAGACAUAACGGAGUUGAAGAUGGAUCCAAGGGCCCACAUGGAGAUCAAAAUGCAGCAUUUGCUUCAUUUCUGGUUGAUAUUUGCAAAACCUUUGGUUUCUGAUAAAGCCUUUGUUCCUUAUGUUUGUGGGAGAAAAGGAACAAAAAGGGA